rnacentral:lncRNA from 1 species
UUGGGCAUAAUCCAUCUUCAGUUGGCAUGAAAUGUCUACCCUAAUCUAAGGUGGCAGCACAUCGCAUCUUCCCUAAGCAUGGACUAUCUUAUAUUUACUUAGUGAUCAUGAAGAACAGUUGUAUAAACAUCAUAUUUAAAAUCACAGAAAUUAAAUAUGAUUCAAAAGAAGAUAUCCAUUAAAAACAAUAAGUUCAUACAACCCCAAGAAUAUAAAAUCAAAUAUAAAACCCGUGUCCCUUUGUUAGGGCUGCAUCCAGCCCUAGAGAGAAGAUCAGCCUUUCAUGGAGUGGUGGACGGCAGCAGCAGCACAGCAGCGGGCUCCCAUUCCUUCCUUCUCUUUCCCCUUUGAAAUAUUCCCAUAAUAGCCAAACCUCUCUCCCUCCUUUGUUUUUUUAUUGUCGUGGUAACUCCCUGAGAAGAGCCAAGCUUCUUCUUCUCCCGGUGGGGAACUUCGCCUCUGAGGAGAGAUUGAUGGGGAUCAGUCCCCGGUGGGGAAGAGGGAAUGCCCCCCGGUGGGGAAGGAGGAAUGGAAGAGAAUGCCUCUAGCCUUUAUCAUCGACUCCCUUUUAUAGCCUUCACAGCCUCUGUUAUCAACCUUUAGAUAUAUUCUUCCGAGUGAGAAGAUAAAGGAGAGGAACGGUCUCUGUUCCGCGGACGUGGGUGAGUCUCUUGAGAAGAUCCAAUCCAGACGUUGGGAGCUGAUCACGUUUGGCUUAAUCCUUGGAAGCUUAUCCUCGGAUGCUGGAACGCGUUGGAUGGAGUUGAUCCGGAAUGCUGGGAGGAUAAUCCUGAGUUCGGUGGGUGAUGAAGAUGUGAUCCUAGAAUUUGUUGAACUUGUUUUGCUGAGGGAAGCAGCUGGCAGUGCGGAUGAACCUUGCUCCACUGGGAAGAAUCUGGAAGAGACUAACGAGGCUUCAACGUGGAGAGAAUCUCGGACGGAAAGAGCUGGGACUUUACUGGCUUGAGCCGUGAUAAGAUGGUACCCUGUUCUGAAGCAUAGGAUAAGGAUGCAAAGCUGCGAGGAAGCUGAAAGAAGAUUUGAUGGUUUAGGAUGCGGGAUAAUGAUGAAAUUGAUCGAGUUGUUGGUUGAUCCGUGGGAUAAAGAUGAAUUCAGAACAGGGGAACUGGGACGUAUCUUGGAUGUUAUUCGGAGAAGAGGAUGGGGCUUGGAUGAUGAUAGGAAGGCUGGGAGCUAGCGGAAUCUAGUUGGGAUCAUUCGGCUAUGGGUGUGUGAGAAGAUCUCGGAACAGGGGAGUGAUGCAAGACGCGGGCGGCUGGCAGCUGGGACUUGAGCUUAUCCGGGAGAGGAUGCUCUGUUCCGUGAAGCUUGGAUGGAGUGUUUGAUUCGAAUGGGAUGAAGCCAAAUCGUGGGAUGAUUGCAGACGAAAUCUGGGAGGAGGUGACGUGGAGAUUAAUCCGGAAGAAGGUUGCUGUUUCGAAACAGGGGAAGAGGAUGCUGUUGUUAGCUUGAUGUGGCUGAGAAGAAGUCCGGAUUGGGAUGAAGGUGGAUCACGGACGAAGGAUACGGCUGGGGAAGAAGCUGGGAUCCGGUUCUAAUCCGUGAAGCUGGGGAAGUUUGGAUAAAGAUUGGUUGGUUUGGGAGGACGUUUGGAUUCGGCUGGGUCUUGGUUCCGAACGGGAGGAAGAAGAGGAUCUGCUUGGGAACUAACGGUUGCUGGGUUCAUGCGGACGGAAGAGAAAAUGAUUUGCUGGAUCCAAAUGAAACGCACACGGGAGGUUUGAGCCGGAAGCAAGAGGAAGAAGCUGGAAGUGUUCCAUAAAUUGCGGACAGGAGGGAAGAUGAUCUCUGUUUUGGGAUGUUGAACGGAAUGAAGAUAAGAUGACGUGCCUGAUGCUAGGGUUCGGAGAAGAACAUGGAAGCAAAUUCGGAUGGGGUCUCGGCUGGAAUUAAUCCCAAAACAGAGGAAUCCGGAAGACUUAUCCUGGGAUCUAGCUGAGGAUGCUUCGAAUGGGAGGAUUUGGCUCACGGGAAGCUUGGGAAUCUAGUUGGGAUAAAGAUUGGGAGGAAGGGAUUUGAAGCUUAUCUGGAAGUUGAAGAUGAUCUUGCGGACGAUGGAGAAUGGGAAGUCGGCUGAAAGGAAAUGAGCUUGGGAUUUGGAGUUUAUCCUACAGGCGAAGAGGAGGG